GCUUUGGGUGGGCAGGGUCAAGGUUAGGAGUGUGGGGUUCAAUCAGAACCAUGGCAUGUGAAUUCUGGCUCCACCAGUGGGGGGAACCUUAGGCAAAGCUUCUAACCCCACCUGAGCCUCAUCUGGGAGUGAGACUAAUUAUAGUGCUCAGACCUCCUGGCGUUGCUUGUGAGGCUGCAGGUCCCGUGCUCAGCAUGAGGCCUGGGCCCUCAGAGCCGCUUGGUAGGCGUCCCAGCACAGAGCAGCUAACUGAGGAGCAGAGGCACACGUUCUCUGGGAGAAGAGCUGUCUCCGCAGCCUCUUCCCACCCUAACAUACUGCUCUUCUGCUAGUCUAGGACAGUGUUUUUCAUACUCUGGAUGGUGACCCAGUAGUGGGUUAUGAAGUCAUUUUAGUGAGCCUUGAGCAGCACGAAAAGAAAGAAAAAGGAAAAAGAAAUAGAAUUGAAUGGAAUUAGAAAGAAAAAAAAGCAAGCACCAGAGCCUAUUGUACGUUGCAAGGACCACAGGCUUAAACCUGAGAACCAAAUAUUAAGCUGUGUUCCCGUCUCUUACAAAUCAGCAAGGGCAGAGUUCAGCAAGCAGAAGGGAGUUUACAGUUUUGCUGAUAUCACAGAGGCAGAAUGAGAACUCAGCUUCUUUGGCUAUUCAGUGGAGAAGAUGAGGAAAAUGAAGUCCUACGUGCUGAUCCAUGUUUGCAAGACUCAACCCUCAAUGUCAAGUGCACUUGAUAAAUGUUGACUGAAUGUUGAAUGAGAAUAAAGGUGGCAGUUACGAAAGCUUCCAUCAUGAAAGCUGAAGCAGAACGACUUCGUGGACACCCUGAAGCGACUUUCAGUCCACCUGAAAUAUAUAAUCCUACUGAAGUGACCUAAGAUGGUGUAGAUGUAGCCUUAAUUCUAGAAAUUUCUUAGUGAAUAGUAUAGGAAUGCAAAAUAGAACAGCCACUUUGGAAAAUGAUUCGGCAGUUUCUUAUAAGAAUGAAACACACACCUGUCAUUCAACCCAGCAAUCCCACACCUAGGUAUUAAUAUUUACGUAGGAGAAAUGAAAACAUAUGUUCACAUAAAAAAAUGGUAUGUGAAUGUUUAUAGUGACUUUAUUCAUAAUGACUCAAAUCUGGAAACAACCCAAACGUCCCUCAACUGGUGAAGAGAUAACCUGUAGUAUAUCCAUACAAUAGAAUACUACUCAGGGAUAGAAAGGAACUAACUGCUGAUCCACACAACGACAUGGACGGAUCUCAAAUAUAUUAUGCUGCAUGAAAGAAACCAGACUCAAAAGGCUACAUACCAUCUGAUUCCAAGUAUGUAACAUCCUGGAAAAGGCCAAACUAUAGGGUCAGAAAACAGGUCAGUAGUGGCCAGGGGCUGGGAGUGAAAGGAAGAGUUGACUGUAAA